UUAAAUUACACUGCCAUCUUUGGGUACUGAUAAUGAUAUUACAUUUAUGUAACACUCAAUCUACGUAACUAGCAAUUCCUAAAAUAAAUCUACAAAGGACUGGGUCUUUAAAGCUGCCUGGUGACCCAGCUGUCUGAUUGAAUGCUAUCCAGCAAAGACAGCUGAGUUGGAAAGCUUCCAGCUCUUUGUAUGGGAUACUUGGGAAAAGUUAGGGGCUCCCAGAAUAGAAUCACAGUAUGAUGGCACAGGUCUGGGGAAGCAGCAAUCAGGGUUGAAUAACAUAUUUGAAAAAAAUGACUCUAGAGUCACUUCCCUUCUAUGGGAAUUGCUGGAAUAGAGCCUGCUGUUUCUAAGACUGCUCUACAGGAUGUGAGAUGAAUGCUGAUCUGGGUAUUUGCUGUUUGCUGUGAGCCCCUUGGCUGGCUUGGUUUUUUCAUCAUUAAGAAGUAAAGCAGCAUUGUGUGACCUCAUCUGGAAAGACACAGACUCUCAAGGCAGAAAGGAACCUCAGACAUGACAGCAAUGAAGGCCAUGUAAGUAACUAAAACAGGCAGGCAGAGAUCCUGCCCACUCUGCAAUCCCAGGUCACUGGGAAGGAGCUGUCACAUCCAUUGGCUCUGAAGUCAGUCUAAACAACAAAUAGAUAACUGCAGCUCCUGGAUGGAAGAGAAAGGCAAUUAGAAAAUAGCUCUGCUGGGAGAAGUGCAAUACCAGUUACCCAACACCUGGCCAGUUGCAAUGUAUGGGUCCCAUAAGCAUGGAAAAAAGGCUUCUUCUGGGUCGGGGACUUCGGGAACGCGUCGAUGGUAGUAAAGAGAAGAGUCUUCCACCGGGCGAGAGUCUCUCAAGCGGCUUUAUUCUGAGGGCUUCGGUGAGGGAAGGCGAGGGUAGUGAAGGGACACAGCCACUCAGAGGGCGAGCCAGCUCUGAGAGCCCCAAACCAGGGGCGGGGCAGGGUUUAUAACAGUUACAGGGAAGGCGGGUCAGGGUACAGAGCAUCCAACCGGGUGAGGGUAUGAGGGUGGAGUCAAGCAGGAGUGACACGGCAACGGCCAACUGGGAUAGAGGGAAGAAGUGGUUUCGGGGGAGGAACCAAUGGGAGUACAAAGAACCGAGAACUUUCUAGAACAAAGGGAAGGGGUACAAAGUGAUUGACAUAAACUGGGGGAAGGGAGAACAGAUAACGGACAACUUGGGAGGCGGGAAACUACACAUCUGUGGCCUCCCAUGGCAAAGCAGGGAGGUCACCAACCACACCCCCUACCACGAACAAGGUAUUAGGGAUUUUCUUUAUUCCAGAAGAUACAUAUUAAAAGCCGUGAAAAAUGAACAGAACAACACAUUUCUAUGCUUAGAAAAUAUGCUUCACUUCGAAAUACAAAUUUUUGUGAUGCAGGUGGAGAAAAUAAAGUCAUAACA